rnacentral:tRNA from 1 species
GGACGAUUAGCUCAGCUGGUUAGAGCGUCUCGUUUACACCGAGAAGGUCGCAGGUUCGAACCCUGCAUCGUCCACCA